rnacentral:rRNA from 1 species
UACGGGGGGGGCAAGCGUUGUUCGGAAUUACUGGGCGUAAAGGGCGCGUAGGCGGUUUGCUAAGUUGGAUGUGAAAACUCUGGGCUUAACCCAGAGCCUGCAUCCAAAACUGGCUAACUUGAGUACUGGAGGGGAAAGCGGAAUUCCUGGUGUAGCGGUGAAAUGCGUAGAUAUCAGGAGGAACACCGGUGGCGAAGGCGGUUCUCUGGGCCUUACCUGACGCUGAGGAGCGAAAGCGUGGGGAGCGAACAGG